GACGAACGCUGGCGGCGUGCUUAACACAUGCAAGUCGAACGGAAAGGCCCUGCUUUUGUGGGGUGCUCGAGUGGCGAACGGGUGAGUAACACGUGAGUAACCUGCCCUUGACUUUGGGAUAACUUCAGGAAACUGGGGCUAAUACCGGAUAGGAGCUCCUGCUGCAUGGUGGGGGUUGGAAAGUUUCGGCGGUUGGGGAUGGACUCGCGGCUUAUCAGCUUGUUGGUGGGGUAGUGGCUUACCAAGGCUUUGACGGGUAGCCGGCCUGAGAGGGUGACCGGCCACAUUGGGACUGAGAUACGGCCCAGACUCCGACGGGAGGCAGCAGUGGGGAAUAUUGAACAAGGGGCGGAAGCCUGAUGCAGCAACGCCGCGGGCGGGAGGACGGCCUUCGGGUUGGAAACCGAUUUCGCCUGUGACGAAGCGUGAGUGACGGUAAGGGGUAAAGAAGCACCGGCUAACUACGUGC
rnacentral:rRNA from 1 species